rfam:Streptococcus uberis strain CAIM 1894 contig_004, whole genome shotgun sequence.
AUAAUGAUACUUCUGAACGUUCAGGCUGCCAGCGUGAAAGGACAGUGGGUGAAAUGUCUAUGA